rnacentral:rRNA from 1 species
UACGAAGGAUGCAAGCGUUAUCCGGAUUCACUGGGUUUAAAGGGUGUGCAGGUGGGGUAAUAAGUCAGUGGUGAAAGCCCCCGACUCACUCGGGGAACUGCCAUAGAUACUGUUAUUCUUGAGUGUGGUUGAGGUGGAUGGAAUAUGACAUGUAGCGGUGAAAUGCUUAGAUAUGUCAUAGAACACCGAUCGCGAAGGCAGUCCGCCAGACCAUUACUGACGCUGAAGCACGAAAGUGCGGGGAGCAAACAGG